CACGCCACGCCCCCACAGCCAGAUUCGCGCCCCGGCUCUGUGCGCGGGGGUGGGGGGGAAGGCGACGCGCAUGCGCCAACGAGCCAGGUGUUGGGCUGACAGACUCCCUGGAGCUCCACAAAGCGUUGGCCACGUAGACAGCCGAAUUCCCGUUUCAGUGGGUUGAGGCACAGAGUGAUAAAUGAGAGUUUUUGAUCACUUUGGGUAUACUCGGCUACUUCUGCAUAAUUUACUACUGACUGCAAGGAGAGCAGGCUUGGAAAUAAACUCAUAUAUACAUAAUAGAGAACUGACAGGGGUUUGAGAUGAGUCCAGCACACCAGUCAGCAUGAGCAGGAGAGCAGCCCCACCAGGAAAUGGCUACUGCAGUCCCUGGGUAAAGGCAAGCAUCUUAAAAAUCAAACCUCAGAAGCUGUGCUUUGCACGCUGGACUCGCAGGAUGGAUGGAUGUUAGUAUUUACUGCAUGACUCAUGGCCAGGGAGGAUCCCUGGCAGUAAAGACAGUGACCUCUGCUUUGAAUCCAGGUAACUGCCGCUUGCUUGCAGCACACGUGGCAUUGUAGUGCAGUCGCAGCAACUUCAGCGAAGUGGCAAGUCCGCAUCGCUUUCCAAGAAACCAUUUCAGCCUGGCUGCCCGGAGCUCGGCUUUGCGCAGCCUGGCCAGGCAGCUGGUUUGCGUGAGACCCCGUGAGCUGGGAGUGUGCCGAAAUCCCUCAAACGCCUGUC